rnacentral:rRNA from 1 species
UACGUAGGGUCCGAGCGUUGUCCGGAAUUAUUGGGCGUAAAGGGCUCGUAGGCGGUUUGUCACGUCGGGCGUGAAAACUCAGGGCUCAACCCUGAGCGUGCGUUCGAUACGGGCAGACUAGAGGUAUGCAGGGGAGAACGGAAUUCCUGGUGUAGCGGUGGAAUGCGCAGAUAUCAAGCGGAACACCGGUGGCGAAGGCGGCCUUCUGGA